GGAGAGGUGGCUGAGCGGUUGAAAGCGGCAGGUUGCUAACCUGUUAUACGGUUUUACUACCGUAUCGGGGGUUCGAAUCCCCCCCUCUCCG
rnacentral:tRNA from 1 species